rnacentral:rRNA from 1 species
GACGAACGCUGGCGGCGUGCUUAACACAUGCAAGUCGAACGGAAAGGCCCUGCUUUUGUGGGGUGCUCGAGUGGCGAACGGGUGAGUAACACGUGAGUAACCUGCCCUUGACUUUGGGAUAACUUCAGGAAACUGGGGCUAAUACCGGAUAGGAGCUCCUGCUGCAUGGUGGGGGUUGGAAAGUUUCGGCGGUUGGGGAUGGACUCGCGGCUUAUCAGCUUGUUGGUGGGGUAGUGGCUUACCAAGGCUUUGACGGGUAGCCGGCCUGAGAGGGUGACCGGCCACAUUGGGACUGAGAUACGGCCCAGACUCCUACGGGAGGCAGCAGGGGGGAAUAUUGCACAAUGGGCGGAAGCCUGAUGCAGCAACGCCGCGUGCGGGAUGACGGCCUUCGGGUUAUAAACCGCUUUCGCCUGUGACGAAGCGUGAGUGACGGUAAUGGGUAAAGAAGCACCGGCUAACUACGUG